AAACCAACCGGGAUUGCCUUAGUAACGGCGAGUGAGGCGGCAAAAGCUCAAAUUUGAAAUCUGGUACCUUCGGUGCCCGAGUUGUAAUUUGGAGAGGGCAACUUUGGGGCCGUUCCUUGUCUAUGUUCCUUGGAACAGGACGUCAUAGAGGGUGAGAAUCCCGUGUGGCGAGGAGUGCGGUUCUUUGUAAAGUGCCUUCGAAGAGUCGAGUUGUUUGGGAAUGCAGCUCUAAGUGGGUGGUAAAUUCCAUCUAAAGCUAAAUAUUGGCGAGAGACCGAUAGCGAACAAGUACAGUGAUGGAAAGAUGAAAAGAACUUUGAAAAGAGAGUGAAAAAGUACGUGAAAUUGUUGAAAGGGAAGGGCAUUUGAUCAGACAUGGUGUUUUGUGCCCUCUGCUCCUUGUGGGUAGGGGAAUCUCGCAUUUCACUGGGCCAGCAUCAGUUUUGGUGGCAGGAUAAAUCCAUAGGAAUGUAGCUUGCCUCGGUAAGUAUUAUAGCCUGUGGGAAUACUGCCAGCUGGGACUGAGGACUGCGACGUAAGUCAAGGAUGCUGGCAUAAUGGUUAUAUGCCGC
rnacentral:rRNA from 1 species